GAUGAAGAACGUAGCGAAAUGCGAUACGUAAUGUGAAUUGCAGAAUUCAGUGAAUCAUCGAGUCUUUGAACGCACAUUGCGCCCCCUGGUAUUCCGGGGGGCAUGCCUGUCCGAGCGUCAUUGCUGCCCUCAAGCACGGCUUGUGUGUUGGGCCUCCGUCCUCCUCCCGGGGGACGGGCCCGAAAGGCAGCGGCGGCACCGCGUCCGGUCCUCGAGCGUAUGGGGCUUCGUCACCCGCUCUUGUAGGCCCGGCCGGCGCUUGCCGACACAUCAAUCUUUUUUCCAGUUUGACCUCGGAUCAGGUAGGGAUACCCGCUGAACUUAAGCAUAUCAAUAAGCGGAGGA
rnacentral:misc_RNA from 1 species